GAGCGGUACGAAUCCGGACGUGGGUUUAUCCCGAUCGGGAGGCUAUCCUACAACCUCCCUAGGUAGAACGGCCGGCGGGCGGCGGUGGUCUUGCGUUACUUCCACGGUUCAGAAAGUUUAAGCGUCAUCCGCGUUUCGCAUCCCCGGCGGGAUAGAGCUCUUUUCCGCGAUUUAGCUGACUUACGACCGGAAAGGUUCUCGCGUAAGGGCACAAAUAGUGCACCGUCAGUGAAAAUGAACGGAUCGAUUGAUAAUGGAUAGUGAUGUAAUCCGGAGGCAACGUAGAUUUCGAUCAGCCUGAAUAGAAUAUAUCAAUCACCGGAAGGAAUCGAAUGGUCAGAAGCGUUUUGCGACGCGGAAGCGCGCGCGUUCAGUUCUUCACUGUGCAUUCGAUUGACCCCCGUGUGCUUUAAUCCCCGCUUUGAGUGUUUUUCGUUGGAAAUUCGACGGGAAGUGGAGGUUUAAGUGUGUUGCAAAAGUGAAAAGGCAAGCUUUACACUACCAAUCUACCGGAGAGGGUUGGGGUAUCAUCAAUGCCCGAAAAAUAGAAGCGUAAAAAGCGCAAAAAAACGAAACCAGAGCCAAUACACAGCUUGUUUGAAAACCGGUAAUAACGAAAAAAAAAAGUGAUCAUCAAUUUUGCAUCCACCAUUCGAAAGAUAUGCCGCACCGUGAAAACGAUACAGUUUAGUGAGUCAGCGAGAUCCAAAUAGGAAAAAGUGCGUGUUUGCUGAGUUUGAUCGCGCUUGGAAGGUAAACCGCCGUUCGAAUGAUCCAAUGUUUAAUUGAAGAGCAGUUGUGCGAAUGUUUUUUAUGGUAGCUGACCAUACGGAAUGGGUGGGUGGCAAACUGAAGAGAAGUUGAAUAAAAUGUGAAAAUUAUCCAUUUGCUGUAAAAAAAGUGCUAAUAUCAUCAAGGAAAAAAAUAUAUCGUUUGUUCGUGAAAAAGUUUGCCCAAUUC